GCGACCUCAACUCAGACAAGAACGCCCACUGAGUUUAAAGAUAUAACUAAGAAGAGGAAAAUAAACCUAUUAGGAUUCCCAUAGUAGUGGCGAGCGAAACAGGAAGAACCUAAUAUCAAAAUCAGGUGGCAGUGUCGCCUGAAUUGUAGUUUGUAGAACCAUCCUUGGCGGUGGUCCUAGUCCAAGUCCCUUGUAAGGGGGCGCCUAAGAGGGUAAUAGCUCCAUUAGGCUGGGACCUUACCGCAUCACAAGGCAUUGUUGGCGAGUCAGGUUGUUUAGGAAUGCAACCCUAACUGGGUGGUAAAUUUCGUCCAAGGCUAAAUACAUGCGAGAGACCGAUAACGAACAAGUAUUGUGAGGGAGAGAUGAAAACAACUUUGAAAAUAGGGUUAAAGAGUGCUUGAAAUUUCUGGGAGGGACGUAGAUGAAUAUUUUCAAUACGUCUUGGUCAUAUGUGGAACAUCUUAGGCUGGUGUACUACUCAAAUUGAGGUGUAAAGCAACACGGGUUGUUGCAUCAUCACACAUGCGGGUGGAUUACUACCUAUUGAUUUGUCAUUGCAGUGGUUGAGGAAUGAAGCGUGCACCCUUGUGGUGGGCCUUGUGCACCUGCGCACUCAUGGUGUUCAUUUGCAAGCUUUCCAUUCGACCCAUAUUGAAACAUGGACCAAUGAUUCUAACAUGUGUUCAAGUUGGUGGGUUUGUAAACCUACAAGGUGCAAGGAAGCUGACGAGUGAGAUACCCUCUCUAGAGGGUUGCAUGGUCGACCGACCUUGAGCUUAUGUGAAGGGUUUGAGUGUAAGCACACCUGUUGGGACCCAAAAGAUGGUGAACUAUGCUUGAGUAGGGUGAAACCAGAAGAAACUCUGGUGGAGGCUCGUAGCGGUACUAACGUGCAAAUCGCUCAUCUAACUUGGUUCUAGGGGCGAAAUACUAAUCAAACCAUCUAGUAGCUAGUUUCCUCUGAAGUUUCCCUCAAGAUAGCUGGAUCUCACACACGAUUUUUAAUGGGUAAAGAAAAUUAUUAGAGGCAUCAGGGGCAUAAUUCCAUUGACCUAUUCUCAAAAUUUAAAUAGGUAAGAGGGUGCGCCUGCUCAAUUGAGCUGUGCCAUGGAAUUGAGAGCUCCAAGUGGGCCAUUUUUGGUAAGCAUAAAUGGUGAUGUAGGAUGAACCAUAAGUCGAGUUACGGUGUCUAAUUGCACGCUAACCUAGAUCCCACAAAGGGUGUUGGUUGUUAAGACAGCAGGAGGGUGGUCAUGGAAGUUGAAAUCCACUAAGGAGUGUGUAACAAAUCACCUGCUAAAUCAAAUAUCUCCAAAAAUGGAUGACACUAAAGCACACAACCUAUAGUCGACUAUCAGAGAAAUUGCUUGGCUUCGAUGAGUAUGAGGACGUGAGGGUCAUCGAGAAACCUUGGGCAUGAGCUUUGGUGGAUUGACCCCCAGUGUAGAUCAUGGUGGUAGUAGCAAAUAUUCAAAUGAGAACUUUGAAGACUGAACUAGGGAAAAUUUCCAUGUGAAUAGCACUUGGACAUGUGUUAGUCGAUCCUAAGAGAUGGGGAAGCCUUGUCUCAAGGGUGCACUCUGCAUGAGCAUCAAAAUGGAAUCGGGUUAAUAUUCCCGAGCCAGGACAUGGUGGUAGGUGACAACGUUAGGAAAUAUGGAGACAUCAUUGGGGUCCCUGGGAAGAGUUAUCUUUUCUUUUUAACAACUUGCCCACCCUAAAAUCGGUUCACCCAAAGAGAGGGUCCAGUAGUUGGAAGAGAACCACACGUCUUGUAGUGUCUAGUGCACCCUCAGUGGCCCUUGAAAAUAUGGAGGAUCGAGUACCAUUCAUGCCCAGUCAUACUCAUAACCCCAUCAGGUCUCCAAGGUGAACAACCUCUAGCCAAUAAAACAAUGUAGGUAAGGGAAGUCGACAAAACAUAUCUAUAACUUCAGGAAAAGGAUUGGCUCUGUGGGGUGGGCCUAGGGGUCUGUACCCUCAACUUGUGGGUUUUCUAUGGUCUGCUUGAGCUACUCUCACAGCCAGGUCGGGUAGGCGCGUGUCAAUUGGGCUACAAGCAUAGAAUUCCCCAAUUGGGGAGUUUUCCCUAGUCGAACUUAGAACUAGUAUGGACAAGGGGAAUCUAACUGUUUAAUUAAAACAAAGCAUUGCGAUGGUCCCUGUGGAUGAUGGCACAAUGCAAUUUCUACCUAGUGCUCUGAAUGUUAAAGUGAAGAAAUUCAACCAAGCACGGGUAAAUGGUGGGAGUAACUAUGCCACUCUUAGAUAGCCGAAUGCCUCAUAAGCUAAUUAGUGACAUGCAUACAUGGAUUAACAAGAUUCCCACUAUCCCUAUCUACUAUAUAGUGAAACCACAGCCAAGGGGACGGGCUCGGCAAAAUCAGUGGGGAAAGAAGACCCUAUUCAACUUAACUCUAGUCUGACAUUGUGAAAUGACUUAAGAAGCGUAGAAUAAGUGGGGGUUGUUUUCAGUGCAAGUGAAAUACCACUACUUUUAAUGUUAUUUUACUUAUUUCGUGGGGUAGAGAUGGGGCACUGCACCUAUUUUUUGCCUUAAGGUAGGUUUCAGCAUGUUGAUCCAGGCAAAAGACAUUUUCAGGUGGGGAGUUUGGCUGGGGCAACACAUCUAUUAAAAGAUAAGGCAAGUGUCCUAAGAUGAGCUCAAAGAGAACAAAAAUCUCGGGUGGAACAAAAGGGUAAAAGAUCAUUUGAUUUUGAUUUUCAGUAUGAAUACAAACCAUGAAAGCAUGACCUCUCGAUCCUUUAGAUUUUCUGAAUUUGAAGCUAGAUGUGUCAGAAAAGUUACGAGAGGGAUAACUGGCUUGUGGUAGUGAGGCUUUCAUAGAGACAUUGCCUUUUGAUCCUUCAAUGUCGACUCUUGCUAUCAUUCUGAAGCAGAAUUCACCAAGUUUUGGAUUGUUCACCCACCAAUAGGAACAUGAGAUAGAUUUAGACCAUCAUGAGACAGGUUAGUUUUACCCUACUGAUGAAGCACACUGCAAUAGUAAUUCAACUUAGUACGAGAGAAAUCGUUGAUUCACACAAUUGGUCAUCGCACUUGGUUGAAACUCCAAUGGCAUGAAGCUACUUUGUGUCAGAUUAUGACUAAAUGCCUCUAAGUCAAAAUCCAUUCUAGAAGUGGUGAAUGUCACUCUUCAACUAUAUUUCGACCCAUAGUAGGGGCAUCGCUUUAUCACCCCCAAGGGCCCGUGUCAUUUGCAAACAACGACCGUGAAGCAUAUCAGCCGGGGCAGCUUUGAAGUUCAAUUC
rnacentral:rRNA from 1 species